GUAGAAAACAAAUCUGCUGUGUUAAAGUUCCUGGAUUAUAUGUUGGAUUUUUGGGUCUCUUACAGACGUGUUGCUUUACCGUCAGCUCAAAGUGGGAAAACCUGCAUGGUUUUUGAAAGGUGAUCCCUGAAAUAAAAUUUCUUCUUCUGUGGAAACGGGGCGACUGCUUAAUAGAGCAGCAGGUCGGACAGCAGGCAGGGUGGCGACGGACCUGCCUGACCCUAAACUCCAUUAGUCAUCCCAGGCCGAUCCUCAGAACCUUUUCCCACAGGCGCACAGCCGGCCGGACCAGAAGCAUCGUCACCCCAGCAACAGGAACGUGAGCUAACUGCAGAACACGAGGGGCGAAUAGCCGGGAUGUCCAAGGAUGACGCUGGCAUCUGCGCUGGCUGGAAGGGAUUGUGGCAUGACUGUGCCCCAGUGCACAAAGCAAAGCUCCAUAAAGA